UGGGGAAUUUUGGACAAUGGGGGAAACCCUGAUCCAGCCAUCCCGCGUGUGCGAUGAAGGCCUUCGGGUUGUAAAGCACUUUUGGCAGGAAAGAAACGUCAUGGGUUAAUACCCCGUGAAACUGACGGUACCUGCAGAAUAAGCACCGGCUAACUACGUGCCAGCAGCCGCGGUAAUACGUAGGGUGCAAGCGUUAAUCGGAAUUACUGGGCGUAAAGCGUGCGCAGGCGGUUCGGAAAGAAAGAUGUGAAAUCCCAGAGCUCAACUUUGGAACUGCAUUUUUAACUACCGGGCUAGAGUGUGGCAGAGGGAGGUGGAAGUCCGCGUGUAGCAGUGAAAUGCGUAGAUAUGCGGAGGAACACCGAUGGCGAAGGCAGCCUCCUGGGAUAACACUGACGCUCAUGCACGAAAGCGUGGGGAGCAAACAGG
rnacentral:rRNA from 1 species